UCCUGAGACGGGAACCGAGCUGAUUUCACUUUCGGUGAUAUGUCCAUGAUGCGCCUAUCACCGGGUGUAAAUUGGCUCGGGUCCCGUCUCGGGAU
rnacentral:pre_miRNA from 13 species